AACGAACGCUGGCGGCAUGCCUAACACAUGCAAGUCGAACGAGACCUUCGGGUCUAGUGGCGCACGGGUGCGUAACGCGUGGGAACCUGCCCUUAGGUUCGGAAUAACUCCCCGAAAGGGGUGCUAAUACCGGAUAAUGUCUUCGGACCAAAGAUUUAUCGCCUUUGGAUGGGCCCGCGUUGGAUUAGCUAGUUGGUAGGGUAAAAGCCUACCAAGGCGACGAUCCAUAGCUGGUCUGAGAGGAUGAUCAGCCACACUGGGACUGAGACACGGCCCAGACUCCUCCGGGAGGGAGCAGUGGGGAAUAUUGGACACUGGGCGAAAGACUGAUCCAGCAAUGCCGCGUGAGUGAUGAAGGCCUUAGGGUUGUAAAGCUCUUUUACCCGGGAUGAUAAGGACAGUACCGGGAGAAUAAGCUCCGGCUAACUCCGU
rnacentral:rRNA from 1 species